CGCCUCUGCAGCUCCGGCUCCCCCUGGCCUCUCGGGAACUACAAGUCCCAGGGGGCCUGGCGGUGGGCGGCGGGCGGAAGAG
rfam:Homo sapiens chromosome 9, GRCh38 reference primary assembly.